rnacentral:lncRNA from 1 species
UCCGUGUCAGCAGGUGCCAAAGGCAGGCACCUUUCAAACCUAGGUACUCUGGUGUUUGAGGGAUUAGAUGGACAGCGCCGCGUGUCCAGGACAAGGUAGGGCAGUCCAGCAUUUAACAAGUAACAUGCUAUUUACUGUUACUACUCAGAAACACUCUGCCUCAUUUCUUGCUGUGAUCUGAGUACCUGUGCCAUGAGAAGGAUUAGUGUCCUUAGAAGAGUCCCAAGAGGUGUCACCGCUCUCUUCGACUAGGUGAGAAAGCAGAGAGAAGACACCAUCUAUGAAGCAGAGUAAGCCCCUGCUACACACUAAUGUGCUGGCACCUUGGGCUUGGAUUUCCAGCCGACAGCCUCAAGAGUGGUGAGUUCCUGUUGUUUAUAAAUGACUUAGUCUAAAGUAUUUUUUAUGGCUGGCUGAACAGACUAGCACA